UCACCCAGGGUAGGUGGAGCCCCCAGACGCUGUGAUGAUAUGAAAUUCCAGAUCAUGGGAGGGAGAGUUUGAAGAAGGAAGAACCACCAAUAGAAAGCGGUCCCCAAAGAGGUAUCGGGGAUGGCACCCAGACAGGAGCGUUUUCACUGUGACUUGAAAAUGUCCACUCCUCCCAGAAGUUCAAGGAACUGGACCCCCGGACAUGAGCCCAAGGUUCGCCAGCUUCAAAGAUCUUGGCCACACACCAGUGAGCCGGGCAGAGGCAGGCUUCUGGUCCUCUUUCCCAGUGAUUUCCUGCUGGCCUGACACCAAACUCCACUUUCCCCGAAUGAGACUCUAAUAAAAGUUUAUCAAAACU
rnacentral:lncRNA from 1 species